AGAGUUUGAUCAUGGCUCAGGAUGAACGCUGGCGGCGUGCCUAAGAUAUGCAAGUCGAGCGGUAAGGCUCUCACUCUGUACUUAAAGCAAUUUGAGUGUGGUGUGAGAGUACACGAGCGGCGGACGGCUUAGUAACGCGUAGGAACGUACCCCAGAGUGAGGGAUAAGCCCGGGAAACCGGGUCUAAUACCGCAUAAUCUCUUCGGAGCAAAGUAUUUAUACGUUUUGGGAGCGGCCUGCGUACGAUUAGGUAGUUGGUGAGGUAACGGCUCACCAAGCCGACGAUCGUUAGCUGGUCUGAGAGGAUGGUCAGCAAGACUGGGACUGAGACACGGCCCAGACCCCUACGGGGGGCAGCAAUUAGGAAUCUUUCGCAAUGGGGGAAACCCUGACGGAGCGACGCCGCGUGCAGGAGGAAGGCCUUCGGGUUGUAAACUGCUUUUGUAUGUGAAGAUUAUGACGGUAGCAUGCGAAUAAGGACCUGCUAACUACGUGCCAGCAGCCGCGGUCAUACGUAGGGUCCAAGCGUUAUCCGGAAUUACUGGGCGUAAAGAGUUGCGUAGGUGGCAUAGUAAGUUGGUAGUGAAAUAUCACGGCUCAACCGUGGACACAUUACCAAAACUGCUAAGCUUGAGCAUAGUAGAGGUACCUGGAAUUUCUAGUGUAGGAGAAAUCCGUAGAUAUUAGAAGGAACACCGAUGGCGUAGGCAGGGUACUGGGCUAUUGCUGACACUGAGGCACGAAAGCGUGGGGAGCGAACGGGAUUAGAUACCCCCGUAGUCC
rnacentral:rRNA from 1 species